GAUCUUGGCACUGACUGAGCAGAUGGCGGGUGAGUUCUGCCACCAAAUUGAGAACUGCCUGGACCUGGGGUGGACAGCCGGUGCCACCUCUAAGGUAAGGAAGGCAUUUUGGAUAACCGGGAAGUGCCAUAGGCCUCUAGUAGGGAGCAUGGGGCCACCUCCUCUUCCAAACUGAAAGCAACUUCAUUCACAGUGUCUGAAGAGCAGCUCUGAUACCUACAAGGGCCAGGGAUGAGCAGCAGCCCUGAUACCCAGGGAUGUUGGGUCCUAACUCAAGCUCAGCUUUCUCUGGGAACACAAGACAUAGGACAUGGAAGCCAGAGCUCCUGUCCAGUUCAAAGAGCACCUGACAAAGAGCCACACCCCAGUCCCCGCAAGUGCAUUUUCCAAGCUCAGUGGCAGAGGUGGGAUUGUCUGCGGCUAUUAUGAAGGCUGGAGUGGAGUAUAAAUUUUAUGUAGCACUCACUAUAGCCCUACUGCCUGGGCACACUGCUUGAAUGCAUGUAUUCUUUGUAUACUUUUGUGAGAUCCCCAAGUCCCCUUGGCGAUGAGUGAUGGAGGUUGACUUUGAACCCUCACAGUCCAGUUUCUUCAGUACCAGGCUAUGUAGUAAGGGUCAGUACAUAUUUGAUACAGCUAAUACUUUUUCUGAGGCUAAGGUAUGGCUUGGUGGUGCCAUAAUGUACAAUAUGUAUGAGGUCCCUGGUUCAGGACCCAGCAUCAGAAGUGUUUUUUUCCUAAAUUGGUUAAAAAAAAAAAAAAAAAAAAGCAGGUC
rnacentral:lncRNA from 1 species